GGCCUUGACAUACUAAGAACUUUCCAGAGAUGGAUUGGUGCCUUCGGGAACUUAGAUACAGGUGCUGCAUGGCUGUCGUCAGCUCGUGUCGUGAGAUGUUGGGUUAAGUCCGCAACGAGCGCAACCCUUUUCCUUAUUUGCCAGCGGGUCAUGCCGGGAACUUUAAGGAUACUGCCAGUGACAAACUGGAGGAAGGCGGGGACGACGUCAAGUCAUCAUGGCCCUUACGGCCAGGGCUACACACGUGCUACAAUGGUCGGUACAAAGGGUUGCUACCUCGCGAGAGGAUGCUAAUCUCAAAAAGCCGACCGUAGUCCGGAUCGCAGUCUGCAACUCGACUGCGUGAAGUCGGAAUCGCUAGUAAUCGCGGAUCAGAAUGCCGCGGUGAAUACGUUCCCGGGCCUUGUACACACCGCCCGUCACACCAUGGGAGUUUGUUGCACCAGAAGUAGGUAGUCUAACCGCAAGGAGGACGCUUACCACGGUGUGGCCGAUGACUGGGGUGAAGUCGUAACAAGGUAGGCGUAGAUGA
rnacentral:rRNA from 1 species